rnacentral:sRNA from 2 species
AUAUUGAAUGAGCUAAAACUUUGGAACGAAAAGUGCGGGGGACCAUUUCCACCGUGAAUCACCAUGUUCACUUGGGGUGAAUCGUAUUCGAUCGUAGGGUUGUCUCCUCAAUCCGAACCCGACAGCUAACCUCGCAGGCAUGAAGGAUUUUAAGG